rnacentral:rRNA from 1 species
GACUAACGCUGGCGGCGUGCCUAACACAUGCAAGUCGAACGAAGCAGCAAUGCUUAGUGGCAGACGGGUGAGUAACGCGUAGAUAAUGUGCCCUCUUGCGGGGGAUACCGUUUCGAAAGGAACGUUAAUACCGCAUAAAGUCCUUAGAAGGCAUCUUUUAGGGACCAAACUUCCGGGGCGGGAGGAGCAAUCUGCGUACUAUCAGCUAGUUGGUGAGGUAAUGGCUCACCAAGGCUACGACGGUUAACUGGUCUGAGAGGAUGAUCAGUCACACUGGAACUGAGACACGGUCCAGACUCCUACGGGAGGCAGCAGUGAGGAAUAUUGCACAAUGGGCGAAAGCCUGAUGCAGCGACGCCGCGUGGAGGAUGAAGGAUUUCGGUCUGUAAACUCCUGUCAGUAGGGAAGAGAAUGGACGGUACCUACUGAGGAAGCUUCGGCUAACUACGUGCCAGCAGCCGCGGUAAU